GCUUAAAUAGUUUAUAAAAAACAUUGGUCUUGUAAGCCAAAGAAAAGAUAACCCUUUUUAUGCU
rnacentral:tRNA from 2 species